UCCUCCUGCCGUGUGACUGGCGUUUCCUCCCUAAACUUGGCCCGCUGCGCCCUGAGGCGCGCGGGCCUUCUUUUUAGGUAAC
rnacentral:sRNA from 1 species